rnacentral:rRNA from 1 species
GGCUGGCGCAUGCUUUAACAUGCAAGUCGAACGGUAACAGGCCUUCGGGUGCUGACGAGUGGCGAACGGGUGAGUAAUGCAUCGGAACGUACCCAGAGGUGGGGGAUAACGCAGCGAAAGCUGUGCUAAUACCGCAUGUGAUCUGAGGAUGAAAGCGGGGGACCGAGCAGCAAUGUUUGGCCUCGCGCCUUUGGAGCGGCCGAUGUCGGAUUAGCUAGUUGGUGGGGUAAAGGCCUACCAAGGCGACGAUCCGUAGCUGGUCUGAGAGGACGACCAGCCACACUGGGACUGAGACACGGCCCAGACUCCUACGGGAGGCAGCAGUGGGGAAUUUUGGACAAUGGGCGCAAGCCUGAUCCAGCAAUGCCGCGUGCGGGAAGAAGGCCUUCGGGUUGUAAACCGCUUUUGGCAGGAACGAAACGGUGUCCGCUAAUACCGGGCGCUAAUGACGGUACCUGCAGAAUAAGCACCGGCUAACUACGUGCCAGCAGCCGCGGUAAUACGUAGGGUGCGAGCGUUAAUCGGAAUUACUGGGCGUAAAGCGUGCGCAGGCGGUUGUG